AAACGGGAUAGAGUAAAGGAAACUCAUUAGGCUCAUGUUCUAAAGUUAUAGGUUCAAAUCCUAUUCCCGUAUU
rnacentral:tRNA from 1 species